GGGAGAUUAUAUAAAGUGACGAGAGGUGAGAGGGUUGAGCUGAAACACAGUAUAAUACAGGAGCAGGUUUACCUUCUUCUUCACUUGCACAUAAAGUAAGACAACGCUUUUACAAGGCAGGACAAUGGCAUCAGAAUGGAUGAAUGAUAUCAGGGAACUGAUAGAAGCACUGGCAGAACGUCUACAUUUGCAUGUAAGGAAUAGGAGCAUGAUGGCGGGGGCAGGCGUCGGAGUGGUCUCUGCUGGCUUGGGAAUGUGUCUUGGCCCAUUUGGAUUGGUGGCAGGUGCUGCUGUAGGAGGUAUAGCUAUGGCUUGGAUGAAUGCAGAUAGAGAGAAGUCUCUAAUCGAUGUUCUCAAGGAACUUCCGAAUGAAAUGAAAGAGAAACUCUACACCGGCGUCAAGGCGCUGCUUCAAGGGUGGGUCUGGCCGACUGUAAACGCCUUGCAGGAGAAGGUUUUGGAAAGUGCAAAGCUAAUGAACAAAAUUACAGAUUUCAUUAAAAAGUUUUUUGAGCCACUAUACAUGAUCGUUGUGCCAAGAUAACUCCAAAAAAUACAACUUCAAACCUGAUCUCUGUCCACUGCAUCUGUAGUGUGUGUGUGUGAGUGUGUGUGUGUGUGUGUGUGUUUACCACCGACAAAAAUCUCACCAUGUACUGAGAAAGGAACAGAAAACCUGUACACCUUUACUAUUUUUACUUUACUUAGAGUUUUUAAAAUAAAACUGUAAACAUUUUAAAGGCCUGACAUACACAAUGAUAUUCUGUAUAGCUGUUCCACAACAUUUAAUAUAUCAAUAAAUGG